rnacentral:rRNA from 1 species
UACGGAGGGGGCGAGCGUUGUCCGGAAUCAUUGGGCGUAAAGAGCGUGUAGGCGGUCUGCUAAGUCCUGCGUGAAAUCUCGGGGCUCAACCCCGAGCGGUCGUGGGAAACUGGCAGGCUAGAGUGCGGGAGAGGAGAGUGGAAUUCCUGGUGUAGCGGUGAAAUGCGCAGAUAUCAGGAAGAACACCCGUGGCGAAGGCGGCUCUCUGGAACGCAACUGGACGCUGAGACG